AAUCCCAAUGACAGUAUUAUAUGGACAACUACACAUGAUUACAAACAAUAGCACCAAACAUUAGAGCUGUCUGGAAACUGGUCUCAGAGGUGUUUAGUUCUCAAAAUGUUCAAUUGUCAAUUAACCUUUAGAAUGGUACAAGUCCAGUAAUUCCCAUAAAAAUGUUGUGAUAAAAAUGAUAAUAUGAUAUAGUCAAAUAGACAAAAUGAAACACAAUAGUACCAAGUGUCAUAGAUUUGUGUCAAAUGUUCAGUGUCCCAUAACUCCUGUAAAAAAUUUAAUUGACAAUAUAUCAUGAUCAAAAGAAAUGACAAAUAACCCUACCAAGUAUAUAGGCUGUAAGUCAAAUGGUGUCUAAGUUUUGGUCUGUUUUUGGAGAGAAAUACAGGAGGACUGAUACAAUAACCAUAACCACCUCCACCUGACAUGUUUUGGACAAAAAAACUUACAUUAAUAUAUUAUUAAACAGCACAAAAACAAAACAAAGGAAGCUAAAUACAUACAUUCAUAAACUGUGUUUGGAAAUUAUACUUCUAGUAA
rnacentral:lncRNA from 1 species